rnacentral:sRNA from 1 species
UUUUUUAAAAAUAGACCCCACGAAGUCGCGUUCACACUACGAUUAUUGCGUUCACACUACAAAGUUUCUACCUAUUUAUUCUCACUCUCUCUUCUAUUUCACUUCUCUCGUUCUUCUCUCUUCUUCACUUCUCUCCUCAGAUCGUCCUCAAAGCUCCUCAGCUCGUCUUCAAGCUCUUCCCAUCACAGCGACCAUCUCCUCGCCUAGCUGUCGACAACCAAGGUAUUACAUGCACUGGAGUUCUUCCUCUCUCUCGUUCUUCUCUCUUCUUCUAAAGGGUUUCUAGCCGCCGUAAUUAGUAGAUCUAGGGUUUCUUACGGGUUUCUAGCCGCUGUAAUUAGUAGAUCUAGGGUUUCUUACGGGUUUUUAGCCGCCGUAAUUAGUAGAUCUAGGGUUUCUUACGGGUUUCUAGCCGCCGUAAUUAGUAGAUCUAGGGUUUAUAGCGUUCAUGAUUCAUAUCUCUUUCUUUCUCUGUUCUGUAGAUGCCCUAUAGUUACUCUCAACCAUCCACGUCCGAAGCUAGUUGGAAUAGUGGAGAGGCGAAUGCCGAUGCAAAUUGGGGGGUUCCAGAAAAAUGUUUUUGUGGUAAGCCUGUAAAACUUGAAGUGUGCAAAACUGGUUACAGGCAAGGCGACAGAGUCUACAAAUGCCCAAUGCUUAAAGUAAGUUAUUGUGUUUUCAUUUCAUUGGAACAACAAAGUACAAGUGAAUUAUAUUUAUGAAGUCUUCUCUCUUUCGCAGGCUGAAGAGUACGAGUCCCGAAACCACCUUAUUCAGUGGUGGGAUCAGGCGGUAACUGAGGAGCUUGAGAAGGUAAAUCACAAACUUGAUUCCGCACUAAGACAUGGACAACUAGCAUGCAAUCAUGCUUUGGAGUCCAUCCGGGAAACUAUUCAUCUCAUGCAAGGCGAAAUUGAAACCCUUAAAGAAAGGUUACUCGCCAAAGAAGUCGAGAUUGAUAGGCUUAGGGCAUUACUUUCUACAUGGUGAUUAUGAUGUGAUUUCUGUUAUUGAGGAUGGUGUAUGGCAUUUGAACCUAAAUAUGUUACUCUUGUAUUUUAAGUUGUGUAUUGACCGGCCAACUGGGACAACUUAGCUACUCUUGUAUUUUAAGUUAUGUGUACGAAAAUGUUGAUGCACGAAUCACACAAGUACGAAAAAUGGGAUCAAGCCACACGUAGUUCAUAUUAGAAUAAGUGAGCUAGGCCGUCAUUGGAGGUAGGUCGGCAGGUAGGUAACGAGCCGGCAGAUGUGCGACGAGCUGGAUGAACCGUGGUAGAGAGGCGAAUUGGACAAACCGAGUUGUCUGCUGAAGGUAUAGACGAGCUGGGCGACGAGAUAGGUGGACUAUGCAGUCAAUGGACGAACUGCCGCUAGGCGAGGAGGUAGAUGAGUUUUGCAGUUGAGGGAUGAGCUGAUAGCUAGACGAGGAGUCGGACGAGCUGACUAGCUGACAGCUAGGCGAGGAGAUGGUCGCCGUGAUGGGAAGAGCUUGAAGACGAGCUGAGGAGCUUUGAGGACGAUAUGAGGAGCUUGAGGACGAGCUAAGGAGCUUGAAGAGCUGACGAGCUACUCUGUCUCUGGGUGUCCCGGCCAACUGGGUCAACUUAGCUACUCUUGUAUUUUAAGUUGUGUAUUGACCGACCAACUGGGACAACUUAGCUACUCUUGUAUUUUAAGUUGUGUAUUGACCGGCCAACCGGGACAACUUAGCUAAACGUUUUGAUUUUAAUAAAAUCCUAAAACACAUAAACCAUUUCAGAAAAUAAGUUUGUCCUCUACACAUAAACUACGCAUAACAUUCUCAAAUACACAAAAAGAAAGUCCUAUUUUGACAGACACCUAAUAGUCCACACACACACAUAAGCAAGAAAGAAUUUUCAAAGUCCUACUUCUUCUGUCUCUUCCUCGUUUGCUUCCCCUCAGUUGUAAACUCUUCCCCCUUAUACUUGGAAGGUUUCCUUCCACGUUUUUCCCCAGAUUCCAGAGUAGGACCAACAUGCUUUCUCUUCUUCUUCGAUAUCUGCUUCUUCUUCUUCUUCUUCUUAUCCUCUUCAUCGGACUCAUCGCUGCCAUCACCUACAAAAAUAUGUAACCAAACAUCUAAGAACUAUUGUGAAAGCAUCACUACACAAAAGUUCAACAAAAACUCACUUAGAGACUCAAUAGUUGGAGGUGCUGGGUCACGGAUUCCACUGUGAAUAACCAAGGCCUUGCUCUGAGUAUCCCUUGGCUGAUAAGACGGUGGCACAAAAUCAGCAGCUGAACCAGGACGCAUAUCUUCAUAUUUGUCUUUUUCUGCCUCUUUCUCAAGCUGAUCUGCCACAUAUUCCUCUAUUCCUUGUACUCUCACACAAAUCCGCUUGAUUUCGCUAUCCAUCACAGCAAGCUUGUCCGUGAGCUUGUCAAAUCCUCUCUCCAUAGCUUCCUUGAACGAGAGAAUCGAUGUUCCAGGGAUUUCAGGUUCAGGUACAGCUGGAACAUCAUCAACAGUUUCAAUACGUCUACCAUCAAUGUCUGCUUGGUAGAGACUACGCCAGAAAAUCUUCUUUUUCUCUACGAUAAGCCUCUCUCUCCAACUAUCAACAAUCGGAUCGAUAUAUCCAAUACCAUCAUCAACAUGCUUCUCUACAACGCGUGACAACAUUUUUCUCUCAUCCAUAUCAGGUUCCAAGAUGCUUGAAAUAUCCUGUCAAGUAAACAUAUAUUUCAAACACCACAAAGAUUAUAAACAUAGAUUUCAAGAGAACAAAGCUAACCGUUAUAUCUCCAAGUGCUUCAUUUAUUUCUUCCAAAGUAAAUCCCUUCAUGCAACUUUCACUGAACUUGUGCUUGCACAUUCUUGGACAUUCCUUGUCUGCAGGUACAGCUUCUCUAAAUCUCUUCCCAAGCUGCGGAAUGCACUCAAAUGCCAGAAUCUAGACACAAAAACAUAAAAGUAAAUGCAAGUUCACAAUAACAAAAUCUAGCCACUCAUAUAAUUUACUCGACUACUUACCUCAAGUGGAGUAAUAAAUCCAUAAAAAGCAGUUUGUGCCUUGGG